UACGAAGGGUGCAAGCGUUAAUCGGAAUUACUGGGCGUAAAGGGUGCGUAGGCGGUUUGUCGCGUCUGCCGUGAAAGUCCGGGGCUCAACUCCGGAUCUGCGGUGGGUACGGGCAGACUAGAGUGAUGUAGGGGAGACUGGAACUCCUGGUGUAGCGGUGAAAUGCGCAGAUAUCAGGAGGAACACCGAUGGCGAAGGCAGGUCUCUGGGCAUUAACUGACGCUGAGGAGCGAAAGCAUGGGGAGCGAACAGG
rnacentral:rRNA from 1 species